rnacentral:rRNA from 1 species
UAGGGAAUCUUCGGCAAUGGACGAAAGUCUGACCGAGCAACGCCGCGUGAGUGAAGAAGGUUUUCGGAUCGUAAAACUCUGUUGUUAGAGAAGAACAAGGACGUUAGUAACUGAACGUCCCCUGACGGUAUCUAACCAGAAAGCCACGGCUAACUACGUGCCAGCAGCCGCGGUAAUACGUAGGUGGCAAGCGUUGUCCGGAUUUAUUGGGCGUAAAGCGAGCGCAGGCGGUUUCUUAAGUCUGAUGUGAAAGCCCCCGGCUCAACCGGGGAGGGUCAUUGGAAACGGGGAGACUUGAGUGCAGAAGAGGAGAGUGGAAUUCCAUGUGUAGCGGUGAAAUGCGUAGAUAUAUGGAGGAACACCAGGGGCGAAGGCGGCUCUCUGGUCUGUAACUAACGCUGAGGCUCGAAAGCGUGGGGAGCAAACAGG